CACGUAGGGCGCAAGCGUUGUCCGGAAUUAUUGGGCGUAAAGAGCUCGUAGGCGGUCUGUUGCGUCUGCUGUGAAAACUCGGGGCUUAACCCCGAGCCUGCAGUGGAUACGGGCAGACUAGAGGUAGGUAGGGGAGAAUGGAAUUCCCGGUGUAGCGGUGAAAUGCGUAGAUAUCAGGAGGAAUACCGAUGGCGAAGGCAGGUCUCUGGGCUAACACUGACGCUCAUGCACGAAAGCGUGGGGAGCAAACAGG
rnacentral:rRNA from 1 species